rnacentral:rRNA from 1 species
AGGGCGCAGGGCGAAUGCCUUGGCACUGGGAGCCGAAGAAAGACGUGGUAAGCUGCGAAAAGCUGCGGGGAGCUGCAAAUAAGCGAUUGAUCCGCAGAUUUCUGAAUGGGGAAACCCACAUGGAGUCAUGUCCAUGUAACAUAUGCUGAAUUCAUAGGUAUAUGUGGGGAACCGCCUGAACUGAAACAUCUAAGUAGGGCGAGGAAAAGACAUCAACCGAGAUUCCGUCAGUAGUGGCGAGCGAACGCGGAAGAGGCCAAACCAGAGGUAGAAAUACCUUUGGGGUUACGGACUGCUUUUAGGACCUAAGCUGUUAGCUGAAGUGUGUGGGAAAGCACGCCAGAGAAUGUGAGAGCCAUGUAAGCGACAACGGCGAGGGCUGCGCAGGAUCCAGAGUACGGCCAGACACGUGAAACCUGGUCGGAAGUCGGGGGGACCACCCUCCAAGCCUAAAUACUACCCAGUGACCGAUAGCGUAUAGUACUGUGAAGGAAAGGUGAAAAGCACCCCGGGAGGGGAGUGAAAAAGAACCUGAAACCCUGUGCCUACAAGCACCUAGAGCACGUCAAUGUGUGAUAGGGUACUUUUUGUAGAACGGUCCGGCGAGCGAUUGUAUGCAGCAAGGUUAAGGACUUAAGGUCUGGAGCCGAAGCGAAAGCGAGUUUGAAAAGGGCGUUAAGUUGCAUACAAUGGGCCCGAAACCGGGUGACCUACCCAUGGUCAGGUUGAAGUGGAAGUAAAAUUCCAUGGAGGACCGAACCGACCUCCGUUGAAAAGGCGGCGGAUGAACUGUGGGUAGCGGAGAAAUUCCAAUCGAACCCGGAGAUAGCUGGUUCUCCCCGAAAUAGUUUUAGGACUAGCCUCAAGUUAGAUACCUGGAGGUAAAGCACUGAAUAGCCUAGCGGCCGAGAGGUUAGCGAAGCUUAUCAAACUCAGAAUGCCAGAGUAUUGAUGCUUGGGAGUCAGACAGUGUCAGAUAAAUGUCAUUGUCAAAAGGGAAACAGCCCAGAUCUACAGCUAAGGUCCCAAAGUCAGGUUAAGUGGAAAACGAUGUGAAGAUACGCAGACAACCAGGAUGUUGGCUCAGAAGCAGCCACUCAUUCAAAGAGUGCGUAAUAGCUCACUGGUCGAGCGUCUUUGCGCGGAGAAUUUAACGGGGCUAAACCUGACACCGAAGCUUAGGCAGCAUGUUUACAUGCUGGGUAGGGGAGCGUUGUAUACGCGGUGAAACAGUAGCGCAAGCGGCUGUGGAGUGUAUAGAAGUGAGAAUGCCGGAAUGAGUAGCGCGAAUGCAGUGAGAAUCUGCAUGGCCGAAAGCCUCAGGUUUCUGGAGGAAGGUUCGUCCGCUCCAGGUUAGUCGGGAGCUAAGGUGAGGCCUAACGGCGUAGCCGAUGCACAGACGGUAGAGAUUCCGUCACCACCAAAAGAGUUAAACACAGGGACACAUAUGAAGUCUCGGAGCCGGGUGUUGGUUCCGGUAGCGAUCGAGGGAAGUUAGUACCGAAGUCCGGGAUGGAAGAUGGCGAGAAAAGCUGUGUGUAUUUCUGCGGUGCCCGUACCGCAAACCGACACAGGUAGGUAGGAAGAAGAUUCUAAGGCCAACGGGAGAAGGGUUGUUAAGGAACUCGGCAAAUUGACCCCGUAACUUCGGGAGAAGGGGUGCUCCAGCGAUGGAGCCGCAGAGAAUCGGCCCAAGCAACUGUUUACCAAAAACACAGGUUUGUGCUAAAUCGAAAGAUGACGUAUACGAGCUGACGCCUGCCCGGUGCUGGAAGGUUAAAAGGAGAUGUGCAAGCAUUGAAUUGAAGCCCCAGUGAACGGCGGCCGUAACUAUAACGGUCCUAAGGUAGCGAAAUUCCUUGUCAGGUAAGUUCUGACCCGCAUGAAAGGCGUAAUGAUUUGGGCACUGUCUCAACAGCCCGCCCGGCGAAAUUGUAGUACCGGUGAAGAUGCCGGUUACCCGCGACAAGACGGAAAGACCCCAUGGAGCUUUACUGUAGCCUAAUAUUGGGUUUCGGUGUUGCAUGCACAGGAUAGAUGGGACGCUGGGAAGUGAGUGCUUUGGCAUUCAUGGAGCGGCCGUUGGGAUACCAUCCUUGCGACAUUGGAAUUCUAACCUGCGCCUUUGAAUCAAGGCGGGGGACAUUGUUAGGUGGGCAGUUUGACUGGGGCGGUCGCCUCCUAAAGAGUAACGGAGGCGUUCAAAGGUUCGCUCAGCUUGAACGGAAAUCAAGCAAAAGAGUGCAAACGCAGAAGCGAGCCUAACUGCGAGACUGACGGGUCGAGCAGUAACGAAAGUUGGAGUUAGUGAU